rnacentral:sRNA from 2 species
UAUCCCCCAAACCAAGGGGGGAUGAGAACCACCGACCGGGGUUCGGCAACUGGCGCAGCCAGUUGGACAGACGACGAGCUUGCGAGGAGACUGCCCGAAGGGCGAGCGCAGCGAGUCAAUCCCCCCCUCACCGCCA